rnacentral:rRNA from 1 species
GAUUUCUGGUAGAUUAUUCCGACCCGCAUCCUUUGGGUGUGAGUGUCGGCGUGAUUCUGCCAUCCUUCUAGUGUGCCGUGCCUACUCUUCACUGAGCCGGGCACGCGCGCUCUAGAUCGUUUACUUUGAAAAAAUUAGAGUGUUUCAAGCAGGCUUACGCUGUGAAUACAUUAGCAUGGAAUAAUAAUCUAGGACUUCGGUUCUAUUUUGUUGGUUUCUAUAACUGAAGUAAUGAUUGAUAGGGAUAGUUGGGGGUGCUAGUAUUGGCCGGCCAGAGGUGAAAUUCUUGGAUUCGGUCAAGACUAACUUAUGCGAAAGCAUU